UUAAGGAGCGAACAUAGUUUUAUUAGCAAAAGCAAUUUCAAUUAUAAGGACAAGAGAGUGAUAACCGUCUGCCCUUGUAAUGCAACCACCUAUUAUAAGCUAAACAGAACAAACAAAAUUAAAUGAACAGAACUCCCUAAAUGCAAUAGCGAACCGAAUCAACACCUUCAACUGUAUGUCAUUUCAACAAACAUCUCAAGCGCACACCAACAUGGUUCCAAGAAGCAUUCAUCAACUACCAACAAGAAAUUUAAAUUGUUCUAAUACGACCGUUGAACUUGUAAUCAAAUACAUUUUCUAGUGCCUUUCCUCGACAGUUUCCAUGAACCCAAACGGCAAAAUGAAGAAAAUAAGAGAAUAUAGAAAGUAAAAAUCUACCAGAAGAUGAAAUUCUAUUACUUCUGAAAAGGAUGCCAAUUACAGUAAUAUCAAAACCAAAUCAAGG
rnacentral:misc_RNA from 1 species